rnacentral:rRNA from 1 species
CAGUCGCCGCGGGAAUACGUAGGGUGCGAGCGUUAAUCGGAAUUACUGGGCGUAAAGCGUGCGCAGGCGGUUAUAUAAGACAGAUGUGAAAUCCCCGGGCUCAACCUGGGACCUGCAUUUGUGACUGUAUAGCUAGAGUACGGUAGAGGGGGAUGGAAUUCCGCGUGUAGCAGUGAAAUGCGUAGAUAUGCGGAGGAACACCGAUGGCGAAGGCAAUCCCCUGGACCUGUACUGACGCUCAUGCACGAAAGCGUGGGGAGCAAACAGGAUUAGAUACCCCCGUAGUCCCUGUCUCUUAUAC